rnacentral:rRNA from 1 species
UACGUAGGGUGCAAGCGUUAUCCGGAAUUAUUGGGCGUAAAGAGCUCGUAGGCGGUUUGUCACGUCUGCUGUGAAAACUGGAGGCUCAACCUCCAGCCUGCAGUGGGUACGGGCAGACUAGAGUGCGGUAGGGGAGAUUGGAAUUCCUGGUGUAGCGGUGGAAUGCGCAGAUAUCAGGAGGAACACCGGUGGCGAAGGCGGAUCUCUGGGCCAUUACUGACGCUGAGGAGCGAAAGCGUGGGGAGCGAACAGG